GGGUUAAUUGAAAGUGAAGUAUUUAAUAUCUUUCUCAUAAGAUAGAAGUCUAUAAAAAGCGAUAGCGAGGGUUGAGACCAGGAAAAAGGAAAGUCUUCUUGUACCUUUUGUAUCAGGGUUGAAGGAUUAAAGUGAAUAAUAAUUCAUUUCCCGAAGGUGAAAGAUCUUUUAAACUAAUAUUUUAGCGUUUAAUUUUUAAGAGAAAUGGUUUAAAAGAAGCGAAAAGUUAGUCGAUUUUAUGGAUAUCUGGUUCCUUUUUAAGAUCUGAGGGAUAAGCUUCAGUAUUCAGGAUAAAGGUGGGAUUAAAUUAAGAUUGUUGUUUUAAUUAAUUUAAAUUUUGUUUCCUUCCAAAAGGAACUCCUCUAAAUAAAGUUUAGGAGAAUAUAAUCUUCAAAUUAGUAUUUCUGGAAAAUUAAAAAAAGGAAUUCGGCAAACUGAAUCUGGAAUGUUUAAUAAAAACAUUUCUUAUUUUAAAAAUAGUAAGUAGGCCCUGCUCACUGCACUAGUAAAUAGCCGCAGUAUUUUGACUGUGCUAAGGUAGCAUAAUAAUUUGCCUUUUAAUUGAAGGCUAGAAUGAACGGGUUAACCGAGGUUCAACUGUCUCUUUUUAAAGACAGUAAGUUCAAUUUUGAGUGAAAAUGCUCAAAUGCCAUAGAGGGACGAGAAGACCCUUUAGAUCUUUCUCAAGGCCUAAGAAGGCUUAGAGUUACCUGGGAGGGGGCUAAUUUUAAACUUUAGAUUAAACUAAAGAACGUUAGUUCAAACAUGUAGAUCCUUGUUGGAAUAAAAGCUUAGAUACCUAAGGGAUAACAGCGCUAUUCUCUUUUUUUAGAUCAUUUAAAAUAAAGAAGCUUGCGACCUCGAUGUUGAAUUAAGUUAAAUUGAAUUAGUAAAAGAAUUCUUAUUUAGUCUGUUCGACUAUUAAAAACUUACAUGAUUUGAGUUUAGACCGACGAGAGUCAGGUCAGAUUCUAUCUUCUAUGACAUUUCAGCCUUUAGUACGAAAGGACCAAGGGUGAUAAUAGCAUUAAUUUAAUAAACUUUU
rnacentral:rRNA from 1 species